UGUUUAUUUGACCUUUUCAUAAUUAAUACUCUGUGAAUUUCAUUUUCGACUUGAAAGGGCGAACAGCUGUAAAACUAUAAUGUUCAGAUAUGAGAAUAUUUACACCAGUUUGUGUCCCACUCGGGUCGUUGUUUAGCGGUAACAAUGAAUUGACCGAGGGAAAAAAAACUUCUAUGUAAAUGAAGCUUGAUUUCUGGAGGAAUGUCUUCUGAGGGGUCCAUGAAAAAGCCCCGCCCUACAUACCAGUGCACAAAGAAUUGAAGACACCUCAAACAUUAUAGAAUCAUUGAAAUAAAGAAUCAUUUCCAGA